rnacentral:rRNA from 1 species
GACGAACGCUGGCGGCGUGCCUAACACAUGCAAGUCGAACGAGAUCCAUGGGAGCUUGCUCCCGGAAGAUCUAGUGGCGAACGGGUGAGUAACACGUGAGAAACCUGCCCUGGAGUGGGGAAUAACUCGGGGAAACUCGAGCUAAUACCGCAUACCCUCGGAUGGUCGCAUGGCCGACCGAGGAAAGAUUUAUCGCUCUAGGAGGGUCUCGCGGCCUAUCAGCUAGUUGGUGGGGUAACGGCCUACCAAGGCAACGACGGGUAGCUGGUUUGAGAGAACGAUCAGCCACACUGGGACUGAGACACGGCCCAGACUCCUACGGGAGGCAGCAGUGGGGAAUCUUGCGCAAUGGGCGAAAGCCUGACGCAGCAACGCCGCGUGCGGGAUGACGGCCUUCGUGGUUGUAACCGCUUUCAGCAGGACGAAAAUGACGGU